rnacentral:rRNA from 1 species
GCGUUAUCCGGAAUUAUUGGGCGUAAAGCGUUUGUAGGCGGGCGAGUGUGUUUAAUGUUAAAUCUUAAAGCUCAACUUUGAAAUUGCGUUAAAAACUGCUUGUCUUGAGUAUGGUAGGGGUAAAGGGAAUUCCCAGUGUAGCGGUGAAAUGCGUAGAUAUUGGGAAGAACACUAAACAGCGAAGGCACUUUACUAGGCUAAUACUGACGCUGAGAAACGAAAGGUAAGGUAGCGAAACGGAUUAGAUACCCGUGUAGUCUUACCCGUAAACUAUGGACACUAAACGGUAAAUUUUUAAUUUACUGUUAAAGCUAACGCGUUAAGUGUCCCGCCUGGGGAGUAUGCUUGCAAAAGUGAAACUCAAAGGAAUUGACGGGGGCCCGCACAAGCGGUGGAGCAUGUGGUUUAAUUCGACGGUACACGAAGAACCUUACCAGGAUUUGACAUGCUAGAUAGUUGCUUGAAAGAGUAACGUGCCGUAAGGAAUCUAGACACAGGUGGUGCAUGGCUGUCGUCAGUUCGUGUUGUGAAAUGUUGGGUUAAGUCCCGCAACGAACGCAACCCUUGUCUUUAGUUAUUUUCUAAAGAGACUGCCUGUAAUAAACAGGAGGAAGGUAAGGAUGAGGUCAAGUCAUCAUGCCCCUUAUGUCCUGGGCUACACACGUGCUACAAUGGGAAAGACAAUGAGCUGCAAAUCUGUAAAUUUAAGCAAAUCUCUUAAACUUUCUCGUAGUUCGGAUUGUGGGCUGCAACUCGCCCACAUGAAGUUGGAAUCGCUAGUAAUCGCCAGUCAGCUAUAUGGCGGUGAAUCCGUUCCCGGGCCU